rnacentral:lncRNA from 1 species
UACUGAACUUGUUUGAUUUCUGAUUUUAUUUCAGCCGAUAUGUCAAAAUAUCUACUGAAACUGAAGAAACUGAAGGAUCCCUACACUGCUGUAAGGACCAAAAUAUUAAUGGGAAUGGCCCAAAUGGCAUACAUGAAGAAGGCUCACCAAGUAAGACUUUUCUGUUAAAUUGUAAAAUGUUUCACUUAAAUAAUUGCUUCAGAGAGAAAGUUAAGAAAAUGGGAAUUAAAGAGCUAAAAAAUACCUGCAAACCUACAACUAAUAAUAUUAAUAAUUUAAAAAUAUAACAUUGGGUUUAUUUAAAGUUCUCUAAUAUCUAAAAUUAGGUGAAAUGGAAACAGAUGAGCCAGAUGAUGAAUCCAGCCAGGAUCAAGAACUUCCCUCAGAGAAUGAAAACAGUCAGUCUGAAGAUUCAGUUGGAGGAGAUAAUGAUUCUGAAAAUGGAUUAUGUACUGAGGACACUUGCAAAGGUCAACUCACGGGACACAAAAAACGAUUGUUUACAUUCCAGUUCAACAACUUAGGCAAUACUGAUAUCAACUACAUCAAAGAUGAUACCAGGCAUAUAAGAUUUGAUGACAGGCAGCUUAGGCUAGAUGAAAGAUCUUUUCUUGCUUUGGAUUGGGAUCCUGAUUUGAAAAAAAGAUAUUUUGAUGAAAAUGCUGCUGAGAAAUACUUCUCUUUAGGACUUUGAAAA